rnacentral:rRNA from 1 species
UCCGCNUGGGGAGUACGACCGCAAGGUUGAAACUCAAAGGAAUUGACGGGGGCCCGCACAAGCGGUGGAGCAUGUGGUUUAAUUCGAAGCAACGCGAAGAACCUUACCAGGUCUUGACAUCCCGAUGCUAUUUCUAGAGAUAGAAAGUUACUUCGGUACAUCGGUGACAGGUGGUGCAUGGUUGUCGUCAGCUCGUGUCGUGAGAUGUUGGGUUAANNNNNNCAACGAGCGCAACCCCUAUUGUUAGUUGCCAUCAUUCAGUUGGGCACUCUAGCGAGACUGCUGGUAAUAAACCGGAGGAAGGUGGGGAUGACGUCAAAUCAUCAUGCCCCUUAUGACCUGGGCUACACACGUGCUACAAUGGUUGGUACAACGAGUUGCGAGUCGGUGACGGCAAGCUAAUCUCUUAAAGCCAAUCUCAGUUCGGAUUGUAGGCUGCAACU